ACCUCGUUGCCAGCUAUCAUUCUUCCAGGCCGGACUUUCCUUGGUAUAUUCCUCUACCUUCUGUGAAGCCAUGGCCAAGACUCCUUUCAUGAUACCCCAACUUUUUUGUCCAAUCUCACUUGUUUUUGCCGUGACAACGUUGACCGUUUCAUUAACCUUGGUAUCAUAUCCACCUUCUUUCACCUGAAAGAACAGGAUUGGCACACACAUCUCAACUAUCAUUUAACUACACUGCUCCAUUUUCUAAACAACAUACCAGAGAUGAAAAGUAGACUAUAUGAUUGAUGAAAAAUUGAAAAAAGAGCAAAUAUAAAUAAAUAAAACUGAAGAGCAGACUUUUAGCAAGCACAUAAACAACUUCAGAGAGAGAAUUCCAGCUCAGAUGAAAAUAGCCAAUUGAUUCAUUCAACGGCAAUUCUCAUGCCUAUGGAAUACAGGGUAACAUUAUAGACUCCAACUCAUAGAGAAUGGACGUGUACACCAAAUAAUAUAUUUCUGGCAGAAUAGAAGUAAACUCUGGUUCAAUUAAAACAUGUGAUAGUGAAUGGUAUUUUAUCCAUCGAACAGCAACUCUUUUCUCCUAUAGAGAUAUAUCGUAGGAACUAUAGGGACCCCAUUGGUCUAAAUAAUUCCAUGCAAGUGCACCCUUCUUUCACUAAUGCAAGUGUAGUAUUGUCCCAGACAAUUUAUGGACAAUAAACAAAACAAAAAAGGAACAUUGUAUAUUUAAAGGAUUGAACUGAUCCAUACAGGUAUCAGAUGUUACAUAUUUUUAUAAGCACCACAUAAGGUGUGUAACAAUGGUAUAGCAGAGAAACGCAGAAACAUUGGUGAGACUGCAGAUGCAAGGACACUGUUUAUGAUAUAGCACCCAAGAUAAUCAUUUAUUUACUUCCCUAAGUCUCUGUUCAGAUGAUAUAGCGAACGGCACUCAACCCAGCUUACAUAAAAUAGCAGAAGACAGCAUGAAUCUCUGUGGGAGGUAGCAUGUCUUCAACCCUAGAACUAAUAAAUAGAGUUAAAAUAUUUACAUGGUUCCUGACUAGAACUAAAUAUCUGAUACCUCGCUCUGCAACCUUUUUGGAGAUGAAAGUUAAAGGAAAAUCCUAGUGGAUAAUUCACUCACAAAGACCUAACUAAUUAAGUAAUUAUAUGUUCACAUAUUUGAGCUUCACAAAGCUAAUCGGCUCAAAGCCUGAAUAAAGGUGGCUGAUUGUACUCAUUGUAGUGUGUACGGCCAACAUCAAGACCGUCUAACUAUGGACUUGAAUUGUGCAGAUUGACCGUUACAAGCUAACUACGGCCAACAUAAGGAUUGUCCAACUAUGGCUUUGUUGGCUGGUGUUAGGUUUGAGUCCAUGCAGAUCGUCUAACUACAGGGAUAUCCCAUUGUCCAUUUUGGAUAACUUAAUUACUCCAUUUUCUACUCUUCCUCUAACAACGGUUACCAACCAGAGCUCUUUGCAAAACUCCCCAUUUUUCUCUAGUGCCCUUGGUAUACUUCCCCCACUUUCAAAACGUUACCUGAUAAAUAUACUUGAGCUUCAUUUGUUUGCACUUAAUGAAAGACUUAAUCAUAAUUAUUCAGAUCUCAUCUCAGUCAUUAAGUUUGUUUUUAUAAAGGAAUGAGAUGACAGGGAAAUGGAGGAAAUGACCCUCUUUCUGCAGAUGAUAGGUAGCUUCCAAGGACAGCAAUUAGUACCAAAUAAGAUGGUAUGGAAAGAACACAAGGAUGGCCUUUUCUUAG
rnacentral:lncRNA from 1 species